UGGGGCGGUGUUUGCUUUGACUCCAGAACCUGUCUGGGGCUGAGAGCCCUGCCUGUGACCGGAGCUGCCUGUGCUGCUGCAGCCCCAGCGCUCGGGAUGGGGACAGCGGGCGGGACAAACCCCGUGCCCACCAUGGCCACCAGCCAAACACAGCGGGGACUGCGGGAACACUCCCGUAACCAAACACAAAACCGGCCGGGGACAGGAACGGGAUAUUGGGGAAUGCCCGGAUUUGCCUCAAUUAGCCAAACACCUGGGUGUUUGAUGGACUCGUGCUAAUUGCGUGAGUGGGGCGCUCGUUUCCCCGCCGAUGCACGGCUUGUACAACGGGUGAUGUUUAGCUGCUGGUGCACAUCACCUGCUGGAUGCUACCUGCCAAACCUGUCAUUAAGAUUUCAGGUGCUGCCUGGAGGCACUUGCAAAGGAAGAGAUCAGGAGAUAUCCUGCUGCUAUCACGGUCUAACAGAAGCACUCGAUGUUCUGAAUGCUGGAUGAUUGUGUUUCAGUCAUGCAUGACACAAAAUUCAUUGUGGAUUGCUUCUAAGACUGUUGUCAGUGUGGAAUUCCUUCUCAGAAUGGACCCAACCUGUAUUUGGAGAGAAUUAAAUGAAGUCAUUAUAGAUGGUGAAACAGACCUAGCAAUGAAAGUGUUAUGAGAACAUGACAAGAAAUUGCUCCUGUCACAUGAUGGUUGUGAAAGUUAAUGCACAGAAAGAAGAAAGUAAUGAAGGAGUAAAGGUUUAGCUUUGUUAUGCUGGCUAGAAAAUAAAUGCAAUAAGUUUGUAGUAUAAUUGGGAAUA
rnacentral:lncRNA from 1 species